GGAGGGCAAGUCUGGUGCCAGCAGCCGCGGUAAUUCCAGCUCCAAUAGCGUAUAUUAAAGUUGUUGCAGUUAAAAAGCUCGUAGUUGAAUUUCGGGGUUAGUAGGUUGGUCAUGCCUCUGGUAUGUACUGAUCUCACUGAUUCCUCCUUCCUUAUGAACCGUAAUGCCAUUAAUUUGGUGUUGCGGGGAAUUUGGACUGUUACUUUGAAAAAAUUAGAGUGUUUAAAGCAGGC
rnacentral:rRNA from 1 species